AGAUAGAGUUUCCCUUCGGGGCAGCGGUGACAGGUGGUGCAUGGUUGUCGUCAGCUCGUGUCGUGAGAUGUUGGGUUAAGUCCCGCAACGAGCGCAACCCUUACAUUGUGUUGCCAUCAUUUAGUUGGGCACUCACAAUGGACUGCCGGUGACAAACCGGAGGAAGGCGGGGAUGACGUCAAAUCAUCAUGCCCCUUAUGUCUUGGGCUACACACGUGCUACAAUGGGCGGUACAAAGGGAUGCGAAACCGCGAGGUGGAGCCAAUCUCAUAAAGCCGUUCGUAGUUCGGAUUGCAGGCUGCAACUCGCCUGCAUGAAGCC
rnacentral:rRNA from 1 species